rnacentral:rRNA from 1 species
GUGGCGCACGGCUGAGUAACACGUGGGAACCCGCCCCCCGGUGGGGGAUAACGCGACGAAAGUUGCGCUAAUCCCGCAUACGUCCUUCGGGGGAAAGCGCAGUGCGCGCAGGGGGAGGUGCCUGCGGCCAUCAGGUCGUUGGUGGGGUAAUGGCCUACCAAGCCGAUGACGGGUAGCUGGUCUGGGAGGAUGACCAGCCAGACUGGGACUUAGACACGGCCCAGACUCCUACGGGAGGCAGCAGCAAGGAAUUUUCGGCAAUUGGCGCAAGCUGACCGAGCAACGCCGCGUGCGGGAUGACGGCCUUCGGGUUGUAAACCGCUUUUUGGGGGGACGACCCUGACGGUACCCCCGGAAUCAGCCCCGGCUAACUCUGUGCCAGCAGCCGCGGUAAGACAGAGGGGGCGAGCGUUGUCCGGAGUCACUGGGUAAAGCGCGCGCAGCUGGCAACCUAAGUGUCGUGUGAAAGCCCCGGCUCAACCGGGGGAGGCCAUGGCAAACUGGGUCGCUCGAGCUGCGAGAGGCCCCUCGAAUUGCCGUGUACGUAAAAUGCGUAGAGAUCUGCAUGAAGACCAAGGGGGAAGCCAGGGGGCUGGCCGCAGCUGACGCUGAGGCGCGACAGCGUGGGGAGCGAACCGGAUUAGAUACCCGGGUAGUCCACGCCGUAAACAAUGACCACUCGGCGUGCGGCGACUAUUGACGUCGCGGCGCGCCCUAGCUCACGCGAUAAGUGGUCCGCCUGGGAACUACGAGCGCAAGCUUAAAACUCAAAGGAAUUGACGGGGGCCCGCACAAGCAGCGGAGCGUGUGGUUUAAUUCGACGCAACCCGAAGAACCUUACCCAGACUGGACAUGACGGUGCAGACGGCGGAAACGUCGUCGCCUCCGAGGGCCCGU